rfam:Erinaceus europaeus unplaced genomic scaffold scaffold00047, whole genome shotgun sequence
AUACUUAUCUGGCAUGGGAGAAACCAUGACCACAAAGGUGGUUUUCCCAAGUCGAGGUUCACCCAUUGCACUCUGGAUGUGCUGACCCCUGCAAUUUCCCCAAAUGUUGGAAACUUGGCUGCAUAAUUUGUGGUAGUAGGGGACUGCGUUCACGCUCUCCCCUG